CCAUAGAAAGAGGAGCCGGUAUCAGGCUCAAUAUGCCCAUGACACCUAGCCCAGCCACACCCCCAAGGGUAUUCAGCAGUGAUCAACAUUGUAAACUAGCGAAAGCUAAAUUCAGUUACCAGCUAAAAAAACCGGUCAAUCUCGUGCCAGCCACCGCGGUUAUACGGGCAGGUUUAAAUUGAUAACGUCGGCACAAAGCGUGGUUAGAUUUUCACUUCAAUAAAGCAAAAAAAAAGCCCGGCUGUGAUAUGCUUUCGCUUUUAAUAACCCCAAUCACGAAAGUAGCUUUACUCCAAUUGAACCCACGAUCGCUAGGGCACAAACUGGGAUUAGAUACCCCACUAUGCCUAGCCUUAAACUUUGAUCAUUCCGCCUGGGAACUACGAGCGUCAGCUAAAACCCAAAAGACUUGGCGGUGCCCUAUACCACCUAGAGGAGCCUGUUCUAUAAUCGAUAAUCCCCGAUUCACCUCACCAUCUCUUGCCAAUACCGCCUGUAUACCUCCGUCGCCAACUGACCCCCUAAGGGUUAUAGUCGGUUAAAUGGCUUUCCUCAGCAAGUCAGGUCAAGGUGCAGCGAAUGACAUGGGAAGCAAUGGGCUACAUUUUCUACUAAUAGACUAUACGAAAGAUCACUAUGAAAUCUGAUUGGAAGGUGGAUUUAGCAGUAAAAAGAGACUAGAGCGCUCUUUUUAAGUUGGCUCUAGGGCGCGUACACACCGCCCGUC
rnacentral:rRNA from 1 species